CUGUACACACAUUUGCGUGUUGCUUGUUGUGCAAUUAAAGAAGACAAAAUGGUGCACUGAUAUAUUUUUUUAACAAAGUUUUGAUUUUCAGGUAAUACAAUUUUGCUGACCAAGAAUCCAAUUUUAACAACGCAGAGGGCCUCAACAUAUUCAAAUAGCAAAGAAACACAUAACCAGUUUGGACAUUGGUAUCUUUUCUGCAGGGAAAGUGCAUCUAGUUGGAUGCGUUAAACAGGUCGUCAAGCCCGUACCCAUUCACAAACUUGUUUGAAAAAAGAGUAUGCAAAGCUUCAGUGGUGUUAUUAAAAUUCUUCAACUAUCAACAAUGGACAUGAUUUAUGAAGACUUUUAAAUUAGUUAUGUUCUGAUAGGUACCUAUUUCAUUAAAUUUGUGUACUUAUAUUUCCAACGUUUUCCUCCCACCACCCGUUAGAAAGUAAUAAGUUACUUUAUUUAAGCAAAAAACAUACUAUACCUAUACACUGAGGAGUUGUGUUUGUGAAUAAAAUUAUUUUGUCAAUGACUAA